AUGUUCUAGCAGCUUCCCGGAGUACCAUUCCAUGAAAAACUUUCCAUACUCGCUAUUCCAUGUUCCGUCUCUCCUGAAAAAUUCAGUAUCUUCUGGGAGGUUCUUGUACUCGCCGGCAUCAUGAGGUCCACUUGUUCCCCAGUUAGUUUUCCCGAUUGACUCAGCAUAUGCUUGAAGUGACGAUUUCAUAUACUGCAAUCAACAAGUAUCAUUUCUUAGAAGAAGCAAAUGGAGUAUAAGUAAGCAUAAGUAUACAUGAUCUUCUCUGGUAUAUGUCUAAUCUCUUGACUAGUGUUCUUAUGAAUUUCAAGGCUUUUUCUGCUAGUUUAAAAUACCUUGUCGUAGCACUGGAACUCUCCAAUUCCGGGGAAUCUCCAGGUCCCGUUGCUCUCAGGGUAUGAUGGGUAUCUCAAUUCUCCACAAGGUCCCAUUCCUACUUGAAUUUCCUGCAAUACAUAAAAUGAUGAUCCAAUUAGCUUAGGUCCCUGUAUUGCUCAUGUCUGAAGUUAAUUCGUUUCCUUUGUAGUCUAAAUUUCUGCUUACCGCAAUAACUCCUCCUAUGUAGCCUUCAAAUCGUUCACGGAAGCUCCUCAUGAAAUCUGAGUAGACCUGGAUAGGUGUUCUUCCUCUUAGGACAGGCACAGAAUCACAUCCCAAGGAGAUAUAUUCAGG
rnacentral:lncRNA from 1 species